CACAAUCAAGGUAAAAAACAGAUCAGUGCCUCCCAAACUCCCCCCUCCCACAACCCUCCCGCCUUUCAUGGUAAGAAUAUUUUAUAUGAGGCCCAUUCUUAAUCUGACUUUAGAUGUGCAAUACAUUCCUGUUGACCACAGGUCCCGUGUUGUAAAAUACAUCUCUAUGGUUAAUCAUCUACUACAGUGAGAGUUUCAUUUUGCACUGAUGUGUAAACUAUGCACCCAUUUCAUCCCACGUUGUCGCCUAUAGCCAAGCUUCUGUAUUAUGGCUGUACAAUACUUCCCUGUGAGCAUUCGUGAUACAUGUUUUUAUCCAGCGAUGAAGGAUUCAUCUGAUCCUUUAAAUCUUGGCUGUUGCAAAUAAUUGUACAACAAACACACACGUGCAGACAGUUCUUCAAGGUCCUCCUGUCAGUACUUCUGGCUGGGCCCUUAGGCUUGGCCUGUCGAGUCACGGGUAUGUCUUCUUUUAGUUUUAGAGGAGGCUCUAGUGUUGUCUAUACUGAUUGGCCCCUUUGAUACUAUUAGCUGUUCAAGUUCCCAACAAACCCAUCCUCUUUGCUAACCCUUGUGCCUUUUUUUUAAAAAUUUUUUUUGUUUUUGUUUUUGUUUUUUGUUUUUUUUGGAUAAUUGGACAACGAUUUGCCUGCCUCUGAGCUGUGACUGACGUGGCUUAUAUCUCUGUCAUCUUUAUUCCUAGAAUCUAGGAUACUACUCACAUGCCAGUAACUGUGCCAGAAACAUUUCUUACCUUUGCCCUGAGUAUGGUUUUUCGAGAUGCUUUAGGGGCAAUAACUCAUGAAACAAAGAAAAAUAAACUAUGCUUUGAGUUCCAGUCUUCACCGCUCAGUUACAGGUGCCGUGAGAACCACGAGUUACAUAUAUGCUUUCAUUUAGGUCAGCAAUCUGUAAGCUCCAGAUAUUCAAAGACAGAAGUGCUCGGCUGGGACAUAUUCCGAGGCUUAAGCAAUGGUGUGUGAUCACAAUGUGAGUCAUACAUAGUAUAGGUCAGCAAUAGUGUGUGAUCACAAUGUGAGUCAUACAUAGUAUAGGUAAGCAAUAGUGUGUGAUCACAAUGUGAGUCAUACAUAGUAUAGGUAAGCAAUAGUGUGUGAUCACAAUGUGAGUCAUACAUAGUAUAGGUAAGCAAUAGGUGUGAUCACACUGUGAGUCACACAUAGUAUAGGUAAGCAAUAGUGUGUGAUCACAAUGUGAGUCAUACAUAGUAUAGGUCAGCAAUAGUGUGUGAUCACAAUGUGAGUCACACAUAG
ensembl:lncRNA